GCUGCAAGACUUUCUGCGCGCGCUUUUGUGCAUGUCGAAAGCGUAUAACGUGCGCGAUAUUCGUGCGAGCGCAGUUUGACUUGAGCAAUCGUGGGUUUGGACUCCGUGACAUUUGCUUUCGUCAUAUGCGAGUUAGGGGCUUGCCGACAGGUAAACCGCCGCUGUACUUAGAUGAGUUGAGAUUUACACAUCAAUGCCAGCUCACAAAGCAUCUAAUACGGCAAUCAGCCAGCCACCUCCGCAGAUGGAGAAUUCUGCAGUUUCCAAUCAUACUGUUUCUGUUGUCUUUGGCAGAGAUUUUGAUUGUACACGGCGGGAAUAAACUGUAGGACCAUAAAAAAACUUGUGAUGACAAGGGCCAUAUAUGGUGGAAAUUAUAGUAGAUUAUGACCAGCAUUAGCUCAAGCCCUGCUAAAGGUCUGUGGUAUCUAAAAAAAUAAUAAAGUGCUGGUUUUCAUAUCUA